rnacentral:rRNA from 1 species
CAGUAGCCACGGUAAUACGAAGGGGGCUAGCGUUGUUCGGAAUCACUGGGCGUAAAGGGUGCGUAGGCGGAUUCUUAAGUCAGGGGUGAAAUCCCGAGGCUCAACCUCGGAACUGCCUUUGAUACUGGGGAUCUUGAGUCCGGAAGAGGUGAGUGGAACUGCGAGUGUAGAGGUGAAAUUCGUAGAUAUUCGCAAGAACACCGGUGGCGAAGGCGGCUCACUGGUCCGGAACUGACGCUGAGGCACGACAGCGUGGGGAGCAAACAGGAUUAGAUACCCCAGUAGUCCCUGUCUCUUAUAC